GCCCGUAGGAUCCUCUUCCCUUCGUCCCAUUGGCUCUUGUUGAGGACCCGCCCCCACAGCCAGCAGGGUCUGCUGAGGGGGCUGACAGAGGUCCAGUAGCAAGAGAAGAGAGAAGGGUGACCCCAAGACCUUAGUCAAAGCCACUGGAAAGGUAACUUAUUCCAGGGAAAACCAGCCCCAUGCACAAAACUUCAUGGUGAAAGCUAAGGUCUCCCCUCAACAGCCACGGAGGUGAGUUAGAAAUGGAUCUUCCAGCCCCAGUCAAGCAUCAGAUGCCUGCAGCCCCACUGUCACCCAUGAGGCUCAGAGCCAGAACCACCUGCUAAAGCCCUUCCUAGGUAUUGCUCUGACCCCCCAACUCAACGGCAAAAUAAACGUCUGAGCCACUCCAUCUCAGGGGAAAGGCACUGCGCAGCGACAGAUAACUCACAAGCCUCUUAAAGUCAAGGGAAAAGGGCGAGGCAAGAAACUUCGGAGACUUUGGCCAAGAGAGCAGAACUUCAUGCCACUGUGGGAGUUCUGCUGGGGCAGCAGCCCUCCUCUCUGCCCCCGCGACGCCAGCAGAAGGAGGAGAGGGAGAGACCUGGACUGGGCAGCGGGGGGUCUACACUGCAGCCCUGGGUGGAUUCAUCGAAGAAGGCUUUCUGCAGGCAAAGAGCAACUUAAUAGCCAGAAGCUGUUGCAGGGACUCUGGAGAGAGGCUGAGCUGAAGCUUCUACUACCACAGAAGCCAGAGCCUGGGGCUGGAGGUAGAUCUCCGAGAGUGGUAGAACGCUCGCCUAGCACGCAAGUGGCCCUGGAUUUGUUUCCUGUUCACAAAGAAACAGGAGGAGCCAAACCUGGGCGCAAGUCACACUCAUUGAAGCAGCAACAACCAGAAACCGUGAGAAGCUGAGACGGAGAAGGGCCAUUGCCGCAGACAGCCUGAAGCUUGUAUCACCUCCGUUUCGGGAUGCGCCUUGCUGUGGGAAAGCUCUGUUCGAGAAUUCUGGCUGGGCAAGCUCGGUCCCCUGCUCGGCCUGGGCAUGGACAAAACUAUGUCUGGUCUUGCUUACUGUACAGGAGCUAGCUGCAGUGCUCUGUGCUGUUGACAGAUGUCUUUGUCCAUUUCUUGCUUUGUUUUUGUUUGUUUUUCCAUACUGGGGAUUGAACCCAGGGCCUCUGCACUGAGCUAUAUUCCCAAUCUUCUAAUUUUUGAUUUUGACGUAAGGUUUUGCUAGGUUACUAAAUUACUCAGGCUGGGCUUGACAUUGAGAUCCUCCUGCCUCAGCCUCCCAGGGUGCUGGGGUUGCAGGCAGGUACCACGGCUACCACCCCCACCUUGGCGAAGGCCUUUGUGCUGCAUCAUAGCACGGCAGAAGUCAUCCCCUGGUAAGACAGAGCAAGUGUGCCAGCUCAAGCACCCCAGGCCCCUUCCUAUACAGCCACCCAUGCCAGUGUCCUAAUGACCCCGUCUCCCCCCAAGCACCUCCCCAAAGUCCCUUCUUCCAAGGACCAGCAGCAGAUGACUUUGGGAUCGAAUUCCCAACACAUGAAUUCCAGGGGACACACCUGAGCCAUCCUGCCCAGGAAGAGCCUCACAGCCAAAAAUUUAAAGUAGGACAGGGGCCGGGGAUGCAGCUCAGUGGCACAAGCACCUGCCUGGCAAGUGUGAGGUUGUGAGUUCGAUUCCCGGUACCAAAAAUAAAUAAAUAAAUAAAAUAAAGUAGGACAGCACCUGGGUCUGACCCAGUCCCCUCAGGAAACAAAGGCCCUGCAGCCCAGCAAGAGGGGUGAGCUGCUAAAGCUCCCCAUGGAUUUUUGUGCCAUGGCAGCUGCUUAGGGCAAACCUGAGGACCUCUGGACCCUUGGGGCAACUUGCCUUAUUGGUAUGCCUGAGGUGACUAUUGCCACACCUGGACUGUCACAGGGACUGAGGCUGUGGGAGCCACUGACAUAGCCAACAUUCUAACUCCACCAGUCCUUAUGGUUCCUGCUGGGGAAUCUAAUAGGAUGCCCAGAGCCAUGUGGGAGACCAGCAUGCUUCGAACUGUGGAAAAGAAAUUGAUUUGGUUUUGCUGGAUGUGGUGGUGCAUGCCUGCAACCCCAUCACUUCGGAAGCUGAGGCAGAUGAUCACCACAGGUUUGAGGUAUCUACUUUCUUUUUCUUUUUUUGAAGUGUCUGCUUUGGGUUUGAGGACUACCUGGGCUACACAGUGAAUUCAAGGCCAUUCUGGAAAAUAUAGUGACUCCCUAUAUUUUCAAACAAACGCCAGGUGCAGAGGUGCACGCCUGUAAUCCAGUACUUAGGAGGCUGAGGCAGGAGGAUCACUGCAAGUUCAAAGUCAG